UACGGAAGGGGCAAGCGUUGUUCGGAAUCAUUGGGCGUAAAGGGCGCGUAGGUGGUUCUGUAUGUCUACCGUGAAAGCAUACAGCUCAACUGUAUUUUGUCGGUAGAAACUGCAGGACUUGAGGCUGGGGAGGGGCUGGUGGAAUUCCCUGUGUAGCGGUGAAAUGCGUAGAGAUGGGGGAGAACACUCGUGGCGAAGGCGGCCAGCUAGACCAGUUCUGACACUGAGGCGCGACAGCGUGGGGAGCAAACAGG
rnacentral:rRNA from 1 species